UACGUAGGGUGCAAGCGUUAAUCGGAAUUACUGGGCGUAAAGCGUGCGCAGGCGGUUUUGUAAGUUUGUCGUGAAAGCCCCGGGCGUCAACCUGGGAAUGGCAAUGGAUACUGGCAGGCUAGAGUGCGGUAGAGGGUAGUGGAAUUCCCGGUGUAGCGGUGAAAUGCGUAGAGAUCGGGAGGAACACCAGUGGCGAAGGCGGCUACCUGGACCAGCACUGACACUGAGGCACGAAAGCGUGGGAGCAAAUAGG
rnacentral:rRNA from 1 species